ensembl:lncRNA
AUUGUCUCAAAAUUAAGUACAUAGAUUUACAUUCCUACUGUCACCAGCCAGCCACAUCUCAUAGAGGCCACUAGACUGGACAGGUGAGGUACAGACCAACUUUACUGUCACACUUAAGCGUGAUCACAAUUGGAGGCCAAGGUUCGAAUGUGAGGUAGCUGCACCCAUGGAAACCUUCCCUAGGAGAGAAGACUCAGUGCAGAAGAGAGCACGGGAUGGCUUGAACCUCACUCUGACUGACCAGGGCUCCACUUGUUGGAGUGGCUCCAUCCUCCCCCCAACCCCGUACUUGGGAUGGAACUCAGGGUGUCAUUCAUUCUAGGAAGAAGACAAGAGGAGGAACACCACGGAGAGCGAGCCUUACGAUGUUCCAGCACGUAGACGCCAAAGUGAAGCCAGGAAACCAAGCACAGGGACCAGGAAAGCACAAAGUGCAUUGUGAAAAGGACAAAGGCUUCAUCGUGGGAAACUAGGCUGGGAGAGGCCGUGUAAAAUAAAGACAGACACACCCA